rnacentral:rRNA from 1 species
GCUUAACACAUGCAAGGCAAGGACUGUAGCCCCGCAAGGGGAUGCAGGACUGGCGCACGGGUGCGGAACACGUAGGUAAUCUACCCUAUGGGGGAGAACAACUCGUCGAAAGACGAGCUAAAACUCCGUAACAUGAGAGAACGGCAUCGUUUUCUCAUCAAAUUUUCCAAAGGAUGAGCCUGCGCCUGAUUAGCUAGUUGGUAGGGUAACGGCCUACCAAGGCUACGAUCAGUAGCUGGUCUGAGAGGAUGAUCAGCCACAUUGGGACUGAGACACGGCCCAGACUCCUACGGGAGGCAGCAGUGAGGAAUAUUGCUCAAUGGACGAAAGUCUGAAGCAGCAACGCCGCGUGAGGGAUGAAGGUGCUCUGCAUCGUAAACCUCUGUAGAGGGAGACAAACUUCAAGUUAUUACUUGAUUGAUGGUACCCCUAAAGUAAGGAUCGGCUAACUACGUGCCAGCAGCCGCGGUAAUACGUAGGAUCCAAGCGUUGUCCGGAUUUACUGGGUGUAAAGGGUGCGCAGGCGGACCAAUAAGUCAGGAGUGAAAUCUCGGCGCUCAACGCCGAAACGUCUUUUGAUACUGUUGGUCUUGAAUAAGCGAGAGAUUCGUGGAAUUCCGAGUGUAGCAGUGAAAUGUGUAGAUAUUCGGAAGAACACCAGAGGCGAAGGCAGCGAAUUGGCGCUUUAUUGACGCUCAGGCACGAAAGCAUGGGGAUCAAACAGGAUUAGAUACCCUGGUAGUCCAUGCCCUAAACGAUGAUCACUUGGUGUCGGCCGCAAGGUCGGUGCCGGAGCUAACGCGUUAAGUGAUCCACCUGGGGAGUACGCUCGCAAGGGUGAAACUCAAAGGAAUUGACGGGGGCCCGCACAAGCGGAGGAGCAUGUGGUUUAA